AGGUAAUCUGGCCCCUAAGGAGUUACAGCUGUGCUAAUUAUCAAGCAUUAAGAACAAGCCUGCUCUUAAUAGGCCACAGCUGGAUCCAGUUAAGAGGGGUAUUAUAAAAGAGCAGGUUGGCUGGGUGAGAGGAGAGAUGGAGUUUGUUGGUUGUGCUGAGAAGAAGAAAGUCAGUGCUGUGAGGAGCUGCUCAUGAGAAAUCUCCAGGAAGAGUCUCCAUGAUGGUGAUCAAUGUAUUCCAAAAUGUUGUCUUCAAGAAUGGUGAAAACACAGAAACUUUAAAGGGAUCUGCUGCCUCUUCUCCAAAACAUGCUCUAGAAAAGGUCAUAGUUCCUCAUGGAUUCCUGAAGAAAACCUGCUUUGAAACCUAAAGUCAGUUGGCAUUUCCACUACCACCAAAGGUAUCAGGGUUAUGCUGGAGACCCUUCUGGGAUGUGAGUCCCAUGGCACAGACCCAUUGACUCUCAGGGCAGCUGAGGUUGGCAGGGCUCUGGAGACUGUCUAGGCCAGGCCUCCUGCACAGAUGGUUGUUCAAGAUCGUGGCCAUAUUAUACCUAAUUCCCUCCAUGCCUGGAAAAAUGAAGAACUUCUUACUGCUACUCCAAGGUUUAGAAUACUCCAUCAUCAACAAGUGGCAUCCUCAUAAUGAAUCCUGAAAUUUGGAACACUCUGCAAGUGUAAACUGUCACCAUCAUUUGCUCUGCCAAGGAAGAAGCUGGAAGGUAUUCCUCAUUCUGUACAACCAACAAUGUACAACAUUCAAGUCUUCCAGAAACAGAACUAUGGUCUCUAGGGACUACAGCAAAGGAGUCAUCACUGGAGAAAUGCAUAAAAGAGUGUUAAUUCUUAUUCAAAUUGGUGGUUAUUUUUGGAGGGUUAUCUGCAAUAAAAAUUACCAAGAAGAAGUUUUCACCAUCUCAUAGAGAAAAAAACGGCCAGAUGUAAAAAUUUCCUAUAAUGGACUCCAAAUAAAUGUGUUUGCAAUACAGCAUUCUUAUUGUCAGCUAUAGGUUUCACAGAAAAAAAAAUCUAGGGGGAAAUAAUUAGUGCAAUGACUAUAUAGGGUUUUUUGUCUGAAACACAUAAAAACCUUCCCAUAAAUAAAUUUGGCCAAUUAAAGUUUACUGAUGUCUACAAUAAUAGAAAUUAGCUAGGAAACCAAGUAAUCAGUUGUAGGUUUUUUGAAACAGUGCAGUAAUUUUAAAGCAGACUAUAUAAUUCAGUAUUUCUGCCCAUAACUGCAAAAGCUUGGCUACUGUAUCCAUUGCUCAGAGUUGUGCUGGCAGACUAUUUGCAAUGGCCACAUUCACAUCUCACAGUAGGAUCCCACUAGAAGGUCAGUCAUGCAUAAAGAGGUGAAGUAUUCUCACAACGGGAGCACAAUCUUUUGGAACAACUGGCAGAUCAGCAGAUUCAACUCGUUCAACCUUAAUAAAGACUCACAGCAGUAACUGUGUAUAACCAGCAGAGUUCAAAAUCUGAAACCUUGUCCUCGACAGAAAUCGUCCGCAGAUUGCUUCUGAAACUGGCCCCACAACACAAUAACCAAUCGCUUCCUGUCAUGCUGCACUAUUGCCUGGAUGACCCAUUUAAUAGCUGGAUAUUAUAAGGUCCUUUUUGGUGUUGUGACAGUCAAAUGGGAAAGUAAUUUCUACCCUUACAAUUUUGGAAAUCCAUCACUGCUUUUGUAAAUGUAUGAUAUUUUUAUGUAAAUAUAGUUAUAACAGUAAGUAAAGGGAACUAAAAGAAGAAAAAAGUGAUGUUGGAGAGAUUGCAAACAUUUUAAACUACUUUAUUUGACAUUACUCCAUUUAAAUAUUAGAAGUGAAUUAACAUUUAAAAAAUAUUUUUGAUGAGGGCGUCACUGAUCUUUUCUUGUUUGUUUUCUUGCUUUUAAAUGUACAUCUAGCUUAAAUGAAGCAGCAAGAUUCUGUUUUUCUUUUCUUCUCUAUUUGUUUCAGGUUUGUGUAAUCUGAAACUUUGAUUUGAACCAGUUUUGAUUAAUAGCUGACCAGAUACAGAAAGAAAAAUUGAUAUUUCUGAAGUCAGUUACCACUACCCAAAAGUGACUUACAGUAGAAUAAAUAAUUCAUUACAUUCCCUUUUAAUUUCUAACAGAAAACUGUCUGUGUGACAUAAAAUCACAUUCCAGAGACUGUUAAAUACAGAAAUGCAAACAAUUGCUCAUGGCUUUCAUUAUCAAUAUUUACAAUGGCUUCACUAGAUGAAAUCAUAUCUAAAUCAUUCUCAUUUUACCAUGAUGACUAACAUAUUCAAUACCUUUUAUAUGCCCUCAAAACAGCCUAAAAAGCAAGAGAAAUGAUUAAUUAGCUGUGGCAGAGAUGUAAAUUGUAAAGCCUGGUACUGUGAAGGACUAUAAUGACUGAAGGAGAGAAUGCAGAA